rnacentral:rRNA from 1 species
GACGAACGCUGGCGGCGUGCUUAACACAUGCAAGUCGAACGGAAAGGCCCUGCUUUUGUGGGGUUCUCGAGUGGCGAACGGGUGAGUAACACGUGAGUAACCUGCCCUUGACUGUGGGAUAACUUCAGGAAACUGGGGCUAAUACCGGAUAGGAGCUCCUGCUGCAUGGGGGGGGUUGGAAAGUUUCGGCGGUUGGGGAUGGACUCGCGGCUUAUCAGUUUGUUGGGGGGGUAGUGGCUUACCAAGGCUUUGACGGGUAGCCGGCCUGAGAGGGUGACCGGCCACUUUGGGCCUGAGAUCCGGCCCAGACUCCUCCGGGAGGAAGCAGUGGGGAAUAUUGCACAAUGGGCGGAAGCCUGAUGAAGCAACGCCGCGUGCGGGAUGACGGCCUUCGGGUUGUAACCCGCUUUCGCCUGUGACGAAGCGUGAGUGACGGUAAUGGGUAAAGAAGCACCGGCUAACUACGUG